UGUAGUACCAAAGAUUUGGAAUCACAAAGUUGUGAGGUUAAAAAGAAAGGGGAAUGUAGUCAUAAUGAUGAAAAGCCACAUACUCAUUCCAAUCACCAUGAUCAUGAUCAUACACAUGGUCAUGGUCAAGAUCAUGUACAUGAUCAUUUGAUGGGUCAUGGUCAUGGGCAUAGUCAUGACCAUGAUCAUUCGAAGGACCAUGGUCAUGUUCAUUUGAAGAAGCAUGACCAUCAUCAUCAUCAUCAUCAUCAUGAGCAUAAGCAUGUGAAGAAAGAGUAUAUUACGAGUGAGGAGUUAGGGAAAAUAGUGAAAAGUUGU
rnacentral:lncRNA from 1 species